GUGAACAUACCUAUAACUGUUGCUUCGGCGGGUAGGGUCUCCGCGACCCUCCCGGCCUCCCGCCUCCGGGCGGGUCGGCGCCCGCCGGAGGAUAACCAAACUCUGAUUUAACGACGUUUCUUCUGAGUGGUACAAGCAAAUAAUCAAAACUUUUAACAACGGAUCUCUUGGUUCUGGCAUCGAUGAAGAACGCAGCGAAAUGCGAUAAGUAAUGUGAAUUGCAGAAUUCAGUGAAUCAUCGAAUCUUUGAACGCACAUUGCGCCCGCCAGCAUUCUGGCGGGCAUGCCUGUUCGAGCGUCAUUUCAACCCUCAAGCUCUGCUUGGUGUUGGGGCCCUACAGCUGAUGUAGGCCCUCAAAGGUAGUGGCGGACCCUCCCGGAGCCUCCUUUGCGUAGUAACUUUACGUCUCGCACUGGGAUCCGGAGGGACUCUUGCCGUAAAACCCCCCAAUUUUUCAAAGGUUGACCUCG
rnacentral:rRNA from 1 species